AGAAUGGAACCCAGUGGGGGGACAGUAGGGAGCAGCCUGUGAACCGGCCACAGGCCAUGGUGGAAAUGAAAGGAAAGGCCCCUCCCUGCUAGUGAAGGAUGGGCCCAGGGCGUUAGGCUUUUCCCUGGUGUUCUGAGUGUCUCCAGGGAUCACAGGACAAGACCAGAGGCCCCUGUGGACCUUCUGCUGGGGAAGGAACUGGGCGGAGAGAUCCGGGGAAAAACAGGCGGGGGGGGGCUCUGCAGCCUGUGGCUUUGGGGUGAUGCUGCCUGCUGUCCUCAUCCACAGAGAAACCUCGCCCAGAUUUCUUUGGUUUGGGGCAAGAAGGAAAGCCGAAGAUGUCCUGCUCUCCUCACUCCAUUCUGGAUAUAACCGAGACAGGCCCUGCGUGCCCCUCGCCCCCAGGGCUGGGGUCUGAGCGUCCUCCCUCCCUCCCUCCCUCCCUCCCCCUCGGCUCUCCCCCUCUGCUUUCCUUUCCUCUGGAUGCCGUCACUCCACAUGGAGCCUUCUGGAAUACUGAAUAGAUCUUAAUUAAGUUUCAUUUUUAAAAAAUCCUAGACGUGCUCCCUUCCAAUUUUCAUGUGAAUCUCCUAACGACUUCAUUGACCUGCUGAUUUCACACACAGAAAUGGCCAUGGUCUCCUCUGUGUCGUCCCCAGAGGAUCACAGCAGCCGCCGCCGCAGCUUCUAUGCUAUCACGUCUGCGAGUGACCUGGAUGUCACCAUCUGCACCAGAGUGCCCUUGGCUGAGCGGAGGUCGCCAGAUGGCCAGCCACUGUGCUAUCAUGACUGUAUCGUGCGUUUACUCCUCUGGACCAUUUACACGAAGCUUGCUGGCAAUGUCCCCAGCGAAGCUGACAGACUGCUGCAUUGUACAACUGCAAUCACAGAAGUACUCAUCUGUUCUCCAACAAGGGCUCAUGAUGAAGAUGACCCAGCACUGAUUUUCAAAAUAGACCUUAAUUAAGGAAAAAUGAAAUUUCUAAAGGUCUAAAUGCAUUUAUAGUUUGGGUUUCACUUGUCCUCUCGUUUAUUCUUCUAAUUUCUGGGACAUUAAAAUGGACAUCUUAAAGUAA